AUUGAACGCUGGCGGCAUGCUUUACACAUGCAAGUCGAACGGCAGCGCGGGCUUCGGCCUGGCGGCGAGUGGCGAACGGGUGAGUAAUACAUCGGAACGGGCCCAGUAGUGGGGGAUAGCUCGGCGAAAGCCGGAUUAAUACCGCAUACGACCUGAGGGUGAAAGCGGGGGAUCUUCGGACCUCGCGCUAUUGGAGCGGCCGAUGGCAGAUUAGCUAGUUGGUGGGGUAAAGGCCUACCAAGGCGACGAUCUGUAGCUGGUCUGAGAGGACGACCAGCCACACUGGGACUGAGACACGGCCCAGACUCCUACGGGAGGCAGCAGUGGGGAAUUUUGGACAAUGGGCGAAAGCCUGAUCCAGCAAUGCCGCGUGUGUGAUGAAGGCCUUCGGGUUGUAAAGCACUUUUGGCGGGAACGAAAAGGACUGUGCCAAUACCACGGUUCGAUGACGGUACCCGCAGAAUAAGCACCGGCUAACUACGUG
rnacentral:rRNA from 1 species